rnacentral:misc_RNA from 1 species
UUUUCAUAAUGAACAAGAGUAUCCUUCAUUGAAGCCUUGUAGUCUCAGUCAACUAGAAGUUUCAGUUGGCAACACUGUCCCUAUGCUUGGAUGUCAUUAUAGACAACCAGCAGCUUCGCCUCGUCAAAGUUCACAGAUCAAACGAGGGUGGUCCAAAUCUAGGAUUAAAAUAUGACCGGCCUGCUCCUGAAAGGGGACAGACUGUGCGUUCCGUAGGUGAACCUGCGGAAGGAUCAUUACUGAGAACUUGUCCUUAGGGGUAGAUCUCCCACCCUAUGUUUACAUACUUUGUUGCUUUGGCAUGCCGGCGUGUUGGCUGCUGGCUUCGGCUAGUUGGUGUCUUCCAGAGAACCAACACUAUGAUUAAUUUAAGGACAGAGUACUAUUCAAUAGUUAAAACUUUCAACAACGGAUCUCUUGGUUCUG